CAAUAGCGUAUAUUUAAGUUGUUGCAGUUAAAAAGCUCGUAGUUGGAUUUCGGAUGGGACUUGCCGGUCCGUCGUUUCGAUGUGCAAUGGCCAGUCCUAUCUUGUUGUCGGGGACUAGCUCCUGGGCUUCACUGUCCGGGACUAGGAGCUGACGAGGUUACUUUGAGUAAAUUAGAGUGUUCAAAGCAAGCCUACGCUCUGAAUACAUUAGCAUGGAAUAACACGAUAGGACUCUGGCUUAUCUUGUUGGUCUGUGAGACCAGAGUAAUGAUUAAGAGGGACAGUCGGGGGCAUUCGUAUUUCAUUGUCAGAGGUGAAAUUCUUGGAUUUAUGAAAGACGAACUUCUGCGAAAGCAUUUGUCAAGGAUGUUUUCAUUAA
rnacentral:rRNA from 1 species